CACGUAGGCACCAAGCGUUGUCCGGAUUUAUUGGGCGUAAAGAGCUCGUAGGCGGUUCAGUAAGUCGGGUGUGAAAACUCUGGGCUUAACCCAGAGACGCCACCCGAUACUGCUGUGACUUGAGUACGGUAGGGGAGCAGGGAAUUCCUGGUGUAGCGGUGAAAUGCGCAGAUAUCAGGAAGAACACCCGUGGCGAAGGCGGCUCUCUGGGACGGUACUGACGCUGAGACGCGAAAGCGUGGGGAGCGAACAGG
rnacentral:rRNA from 1 species